rnacentral:rRNA from 1 species
GGCAGCAUGGUCUUAGCUUGCUAAGGCUGAUGGCGACCGGCGCACGGGUGAGUAACACGUAUCCAACCUGCCGUCUACUCUUGGCCAGCCUUCUGAAAGGAAGAUUAAUCCAGGAUGGGAUCAUGAGUUCACAUGUCCGCAUGAUUAAAGGUAUUUUCCGGUAGACGAUGGGGAUGCGUUCCAUUAGAUAGUAGGCGGGGUAACGGCCCACCUAGUCAACGAUGGAUAGGGGUUCUGAGAGGAAGGUCCCCCACAUUGGAACUGAGACACGGUCCAAACUCCUACGGGAGGCAGCAGUGAGGAAUAUUGGUCAAUGGGCGAUGGCCUGAACCAGCCAAGUAGCGUGAAGGAUGACUGCCCUAUGGGUUGUAAACUUCUUUUAUAAAGGAAUAAAGUCGGGUAUGCAUACCCGUUUGCAUGUACUUUAUGAAUAAGGAUCGGCUAACUCCGUGCCAGCAGCCGCGGUAAUACGGAGGAUCCGAGCGUUAUCCGGAUUUAUUGGGUUUAAAGGGAGCGUAGAUGGAUGUUUAAGUCAGUUGUGAAAGUUUGCGGCUCAACCGUAAAAUUGCAGUUGAUACUGGAUGUCUUGAGUGCAGUUGAGGCAGGCGGAAUUCGUGGUGUAGCGGUGAAAUGCUUAGAUAUCACGAAGAACUCCGAUUGCGAAGGCAGCCUGCUAAGCUGCAACU